AUGUUAAAGAAGCUAAGCACUGUGGGUCCAAAGUAUACUGCGGAAAAAUUGUGUGGAGCAAUGUGCAAGUCAAAUCUUCUUUUGCCGAGGUGUUAUCAUAAGAGCUCGCAUUAUGGGCAGGGAUUUGUGCUGCUGUCUGGACUCGCUAUAAAUAGAUGUUUUCAAAAAGUCUGAAUUUUUUUAAUAUCAUACUUUACUGACAAAAAAGGACAAAUAUUGCUCAGUUAAAUUGCAAAAGAAAUUUGUUUAAAAAAAAUUGUAAUAAUAGAAAGUUUGCUUUUUUGUUUGAUAAGACUGCUGUAAUGGUUUAAUGUUUGUUUAUUUGCCUUAAUCAUACAUUUUCAGUCAUUUCAUGGUGCCACCACUUGGGAUGGUAUUAGCUGCAAAUAUAGACUUGUACUUAGCACUUAUUGCCUUUAAGAAGUAUGAGAUCCAUUUUGUGCUAACACCUACCAUGACACAGAAUCUUGGUUUAUGCAGUCUCAUAGGAGUAACCUGUCUAAAGCAUUUAGCAAUGGGAUUGGAGCCUGAGACGUGUGACUCAUCUGAAUACUGAAUUUUGAUACCAAGCAUGACCGUGAUUUGCCAGAAGAUCAUCUGUUUGGAUGUGACAUGGAAUAAACAGCAUAGUGAAAAUAAGUCAAGUUUUGGUUUGUGACGACAACUUUUAAACACACUGUGUAUCAUUUUUAAAUUUUGAUUUCACAACAUAAAUCCACAAAUAUGAGCAUAUCAAUUGCUCUCGGUUUUUCAAGUGAAAUAGUUUUUGUAACAGAAAUACAUGUACCAGUAAUUACAUUGGACAAAAUGUUAUUUUUAAAUAUAAUAAUAUUUUGUUUGUGUUGCAUGUUGACCUCUUUAUUAAGGUCUUCCCUUUCAAAGUUUAGACUUACUUAUUCUAAUGAUUUAGAUAGAUCCUCUGUCUUCAGCAGGAAUAUAAGAUCUUGUAAUACAUGUAUGUGUAUUUUUACAGUAUAAUGUAAAAAAAAAAUUAUUUUGGCACAUACAAUUAAAUAAAGUCAUAUACAUGUGUAUGAUUCCAAGGAAUUCAAUACAUAGGGCAUGUACAUGUAGUUUUCUAAAACAAGAUUAAAGAGAUGUCCAGUCACAUUUCAAUGUCAACUGCAAAACUGUGCCUGUUGCAUACUUAUUAGCCCAUCUGAGCUAAAGGAACAAGUAAAUUUUUUAAAAACAUAAUUUUAUCCAUUAUCAUCAUUGUCUAAAAUUUCACAAUAUCAUUUUCCAGAACCAAAGUGAAACUUGGCAUAGAGCAUCCUUAGUGUAGGGGAUUCAAAUUGUUCUUAUGCAGGGCAAUACUUUCAAAGAGAUUUGUUUCUUUAAUGCUGUAAAUGUAUUAUAUUUAGCAUGUACAAUAUUUGGUGGAAAUUGACUUUUGAAUAAGUUAGCGUAGAUAUUCUUAUUUAUAUUUAUGUACAAAACUUUUAGCUUUGUACUUGAUUUAGUGAUUGCUGCAUUCCGCAAAAGCCGCUAAAAAAAGAAUACGCAGCCAUAUGUAAUAUGUUUACAAUAAACCUUUCAGAGAAUUUUACACUCCUAUUGAGGUACCACCAGUUGCUAGUGGAAAGCUGCAAAUUCGAAAUAUACACAACACAUUUCUGUGCGUUUAUUAUAAAAGUAUUGUUCUACUUACUGAUUGCAACUAAUGAAGAUUGUUCAUCAUUAUUGUAAAUACAUUUGGAUUUUUUGAUUUAUUAUAUAAAAAUUUGUUUAUUUUA